rnacentral:rRNA from 1 species
UACGUAGGGUGCGAGCGUUGUCCGGAAUUAUUGGGCGUAAAGAGCUCGUAGGCGGUGUGUCACGUCGGCCGUGAAAACCUGCAGCUUAACUGUGGGCGUGCGGUCGAUACGGGCAUCACUGGAGUUCGGCAGGGGAGACUGGAAUUCCUGGUGUAGCGGUGAAAUGCGCAGAUAUCAGGAGGAACACCAAUGGCGAAGGCAGCUCGCUGGAACGGUACUGACGCUGAGGCGCGAAAGCGUGGGGAGCGAACAGG